CCUACGGGGGGCUGCAGUGGGGGAUAUUGGACAAUGGGGGGAACCCUGAUCCAGCCAUGCCGCGUGUGUGAAGAAGGCCCUCGGGUUGGAAAGCACUUUCAGUGAGGAAGAACGCCUGGUGGUUAAUACCCAUCAGGAAAGACAUCACUCACAGAAGAAGCACCGGCUAACUCCGUGCCAGCAGCCGCGGUAAUACGGAGGGUGCGAGCGUUAAUCGGAAUUACUGGGCGUAAAGCGCGCGUAGGUGGCUUGAUAAGCCGGUUGUGAAAGCCCCGGGCUCAACCUGGGAACGGCAUCCGGAACUGUCAAGCUAGAGUGCAGGAGAGGAAGGUAGAAUUCCCGGUGUAGCGGUGAAAUGCGUAGAGAUCGGGAGGAAUACCAGUGGCGAAGGCGGCCAUCUGGACUGUAACUGACACUGAGGUGCGAAAGCGUGGGUAGCAAACAGGAUUAGAUACCCCGGUAGUC
rnacentral:rRNA from 1 species